CAUGGUUACGAUGUCUCCCUACAAUUCCCCUUUUAGUCUAAAAGAGGAUUAAAACUUAAUAGUGUAAAAUAUCCCAAAUUAACAAUUAUAAAGGUGAAAUACAAGAAUAUACAAUAAUCUGUUAUUGCACAUCCUAACUAUGUCUAUUCCAGCUAAGCCCUAAAGUCAUCUGAAAGGGGUGUCCAACCUGAACACCUCCUUCCAAUCCCAACCCUAAGCAAUCAGAAAAUCAUUCCUAACUAGGCUUACACUACCCUAAUAAACAAUAAUGAGUAAACGGGGCAUAGCGUCUUCCAAGUUACUUCCUGCUGAAAUGGGACGAUGGUAGCCUUGUGAGGUCCUGUGGGAAGAAAAUGUUAGUAUAGUGAAAGUCUCUAAUGGGUUAUGUCCAGUUCAUGUUAGAUUGUAUUUGCUUGAUUGAAGAUCUAGGUUGAAAUCCUCAACUCGAUUGAAGUCAGUACUGGAAGCUCUGGUUGGAGUGUCAGUUGAAACGGAGUAAGUUGGAUCCAGUGCAGUCUAGGGGUUAUGGCCCAAUUUUUUUUCCGGAGCAUCCAGGGAUUGCUGUCAGGCGGGUCUUCAUUGGCUGUGUGGGACUCAAACUUCUUGGGCACCAGACCAAUAAAAUGGGCAGGAACCCAUGCUAUUUGCAGAGGAAAAUGGGGCGAAAAGCACUUCCGGCGUACAUUGUCCAUAUAAAUUAUACUUGUUUGCAAUUCAUCGACUCAUUCUUUCUUUUAUAUCCAUAUGUAAUGUAAACGAUCAUCUUUCUCUGAAGCUCAAUAAUGAUGCACAACUCAAAAUGUGAUAGAAUCAGCUAAAAGAAAGCAGAUGGAAGAUUUUUUCCUCUAUAUGCAUAUUCAUAAGAAUACAGAGAACUCAACAAAAGGAGAUACAUAAGAGCUCAUACCCGGAGGCUACAUGGACUUAUGUAUGGCAGUAACUUGUUUUUCUGCAACUGUUUGUUCUUCAAACCUUUACUCAUUUCUUCCUGAAGCAGUCACUAAAAAUGCACUGGGAAAAAAAACUGCUUCCCUCUAUACAAACAAACAUAUCCCCCU
rnacentral:lncRNA from 1 species